GUGGACUGCAUAGAGAACCUCUUAAACCCGGUUUGGAUCCCGCAAGAUUUUGAGAAUCCGGAAGCUAGACAGCUUCCAAACAUACUAGAUAGUGAAGCAGAUUUCGAAAUCCAGACUAUCGGAUUCUCAAAAUCCCGAAAGCUGGAGCGGGGUAGCUUUUAGAAGCUACCGAAUGGAGAAAUUAACGUUUUGACUAUACUCAUCCGGCUAAAUUAUACCCAAUAUGUCAUUCCAAC
rnacentral:lncRNA from 1 species